UUGGUGUUUUGUGAGUUAUAUAUGUGUGUCUUUUGCCAUUAAACAGUCAUUUGGCUGCAGAGAAAAGGGUUUUGGGGUUAUGAUUUCUUCUAAGCUGUUUUUAAAUAAAAGUGGAAAACUCCAAAGAAUUAUGGUUCACAUAUAGCCCAUUAUAAACCUUUGGUCAUUUAACAGUUUAGUAUUUUUAUAUAGUCGGUUGUCCGUAAAUUAUUAAGAUUCAGGUGAAAUAAAUGAAAACACCACUUCCAUACAUUUAGUUACACCACCUCUACUUGGACACAUUAAAAAAAAAGCCAUCUUCCCAAUAGUCCUCCAUUUAUGACUUAUAAGUAUUUUAAUUUGUUUUAAAAGUAAAUUCUAAGUUUUGUUCUAUUAGACUGUAAUGUCUUAAAACAUUUGGAAACAUCAGUAUUAUUCACUCAGGCCUGGCAAAAGACCCAAGUUGAAAGUAAUGAUAAUUUCUGUCACCAUUAAAACAUAUGAUAAUUUGGGGAGAAAGGUAGAUAAAAAUUUGUCUCUAUCCGUUGAAUAACUUUUUAAACCAUGGAUUUUAUGAGUAUUAGAAACACAGACAAACUAUAUUUCUGAUAUUUUCCUUAUGAAGUCCCCUUUAGCAGUCCUCUAACAACUGCCUACAUAAACAUACACACUUAUCUACACUGCUUUCAAAAUGAAUGCCCUAAAGAGAAAUGAAAGCAGAAAUAUAUUAAUCUGAUUUGUUUGAAGAGGCUUCGGAUGAUAAAGCAUUUCACAGGUGUUUCUAAUCAAAAUAUUUCUAUUUUAAAAAGUUAGGGUUUCUUUGAACAUAGGCAAGAUUGGGGUUUUGACCUUUAGGAGAGAGCCAAUUCUGGAGAACAACCUAACUUCUUUGAUUGAACAUUCACAUAAUGCAAUGGAACAUGAUAGGAGAUUAAGGUAUACUAAUGAAUUUUUAAAGCAUACGAUUUUAUAUCUUUGCAAUAUAAUUGAACUAGACAUUUGGUAAAGUUAGAACUUUUAGGUGAGCUAAAUUCAAUAAAGAUUUAUUGAUUAACAGAAGUUAUUCAGUGAAGUGGCCAAGGUUGAGCUUUUCUUGCUUUAUUAAAGCUUCAGAUUUUUUUAUGCAGUUGAUGUUCUUAUCCUGUAUGGGUCCAGCUCCAAAUGAGUUUAUUUAUUCUAAGAAUAAAUAUAUGUUAUGAGUUUUUUCUUAAGUUUGUUACUACAGUGUUAUAUGUUAAAUAAUUAAGUAGUAGAUUUUUCAUGUUAUAAAAUAGAUGGUUUAAAUCAAGUGAAAUUUGGUGCUUCAUUCUUUGAUAGAUAUAGUGGUAGAUAGAGCCUACGAAAUUUGAUAAGAUUAGUGAGAAUAUUUUAAGAGAACUUGAAAUAUUCCAAGUACUAUCCUAACCAAAACAGCAAUUUGGUUGAAACUGAAAAACGCACUUUCUAAAGCAGAAACCAGUAUCUUACUCAUAGGUACUCUGAGUAAAAUAUUUAAAUUGUUCAUAUCAAAAGUUGUAAACUCUUUAAAAAUAAACUGUAGAAUUCCAAAACUUCUAAUGACUUGUCUUUACCUCCAGAAUACUUCAUCACAGAAUCACUUUUCCAGCAUAUUUACUUUAAAAUAAAGUUUAUUUUAUAAUUUUAGUUGAAAAUUUCAGAUACUUAGCUAAUAAAAAUUUCAGCUGCUUUCUAAAUUGUAAUCUGGUGUAAUGAAAACUCAUUUAACAGUAUUACUAAGUAUUACUUGAUUAAUUUUUGAAUAGUAAAGUAUUAAUUACAUGAUAAAGUAUUAACUAAAUGUGUUUUUUAAAACUAUUUGCUAAAUAAAGUGAAUUUGACUAAAAUAUACUAUAAUUUUUUCUUUACAUUUUUUUACUAGCAUUUAUUUUAUAUACUUAAGAUAUAGGAAAUCACAAAGGUUUGUUUUCAUAAGAAAAGUGUAAUUUAGUCUUAAGAGUCAAGUGUAUUUAUCACUUUGGUCAUAGAAUUGCUUUUAUCUUUAAAUAGUGUUAAAGGAUUUUUUUUCCAGCAAAUUCUUAGAUGUGUGUUUAAGAAUGUUUGAACAUUGAGAUAUAUAUCAAAAUACUUAAAAAUCAGAUAUUUCUGUUAUUAGCUAUUAGAUAAUCUAGGAAUGUAAAUCUGUUAACAGUUAAGUAAAAUGUUAAAAUUUAAUAGAAAUCAGUUUUAUAUAAGUGAAGUUCAGAUAUUAGUGUCAUGAUACUGUAAGGCAGUUGUUUGAUACAAGCUAUAAAAAGUUUUCAUAACUUUGAUUUAAGAAUGUUACAGAAAGCAGCUUAGUUUGAAUAGGAUGAGAACAGAUACAAUUUUUUCUCUGUAAGUGAUAUUUUUCAGGUUAAAGAACAUUAAGGUGAAAAGUAAAAAAUAUGGUUUCUCAGUAUCUGGAAAAAAAAAAUCUAGGUUCAUUUUGUCACUUUCAGUCCAGAUAUCUUUAGACACAGCCUUAAUGAGUCAAAGGAGGGAAGAGAUACAGCUUUUGAAUUUAUGUUAUAGAAAAAGACUUAAGUCCACAGAGUUGUUCCUCAUUAAGAGAGUUUAUGAUUUGUGAUCUCUGAAGUUGUCGAAAUGUUGUUUGGACACAAAUAUUUAGCAUCAUAAAAUUGUCCCUUAUAUAGCUUAUAAACUUCCAAAUUUUUAGUGAAUAAUUUAACACCUAAAAUAAUUGAUGCCGAUAUUAACAGUUUUCUUCUAUUGGUCAGCUCUUACAGAGUGAAAAACUUUAACCUAAUUAGUAGUGUAUGUUAUUUUAGAAGACAGGUUAAUAAGGGCUUUUACUGCUAUUAUGUGAUUGACUGUUCCUUAACUUACCCCAUAAAGGACAUUUUGUAAGGAUUUUGGCUGUUUUAAAUUUACAAACCUGUUUAUCUGUGUCUAACUAAGUUUUAAUAUGUAGUUCAUUAUGACAGGAUUUGGGGGAAAGCACUUACUGUGUUAUAUUUUUUUCAGUGCUAGAUUUUUAUCUUAUUUGUAUAAUAUUUAUAUUUUUGGUUAAAUGCAUUUUCAGGGUUAAAUAGCAUUCAUUUUCAGGAAAAUUCUCUGUUGUUUCCCAAAUACAGUUAUGCUGUCUGUGUUCUAGUUUUACUGAAAUAGUUAUCCUUAGGGGGAAAGAAUAUUUGGAUAAACUAGAAUAGAGGUAAUUUAACACAUCUACGUAUGAAGGGACUUGAAAUUAUUCAUUGUCACUGAUGAAUAAUGCUAGUUUAUAAAGACAACUUAUAUUUUAAACAGUUUAUCAGCUAUAAGAGUUUUCUUUAUUAGAGGUUUUAUAGUGUUGCUGAGGAUUCAUUGAAGAGUAGAUAGAUACAGUUUCUUAAUGAAGAAGCUUUAAAUGUUUGAAGCAGUUUUGUACAUGUACUUUAUGGGUUUUUUUGAUUAGUGAAUAGAUCAUUAAUCUUUUUCAGUUUCUUCAAAUAAGACCUAACACAUCAGACUUAAAUUUUCUGAUAAGGAUUUUCAAAGGGCAAUAUUUAAUUAAUGUGAAGAUUCAAUUUUUCAUUUAAUGUCAUUUUGAAGUAAAAUAUCAGUUCUCAGCACCACAAACCCCCACUUUUGUUAUUUCAUUAACAUAUAUGAUUUGGCUUAGUUUUACUUUCCUAUUUUCAUGGUUUGAGUCACUUGGAAGAGAAACAUGUAGCAUGUUUCAGAUGUAGUUGCUGAGGCUCAUCCUCUGGUUAAUAGUUUGUUACUGUUUCUAAGUUUCUUAAUUUUUUUUAAAUCCUUUUUUGAUUUUGCUCUUACUCUUUUAUUGUAUAACUUUCAUAGUAAACAAAUAUAUUUAGUAAUAUUGUUAUCCUGUGUUCUUCAGAAUUGUCUUUUUAAUUUUUAUUAUAACAUUGUUGGUUCAUUAUUGAGCUAUUGCUGAGUAGAAAACGGUUUUUCAAUUUUGAUAAAAAUUAAAGAUUGGGGGUUUUUAGCAAAAUAUCUGAAUUUUAUUUAUUUAAUAUUAUUGUAUUUUAUACUUUUAUUUAAUUUCAAACCUAACCUUCUUGACUAGCUGUUAUUUAAACUUAGCCACCAGUUCUAGCAUUUAAAAAAGUAAUUUACAGAUGUCCUAAUUUUUCUGACUUAUAAAUUAUUUUUCAGAAUCAAAAAUUGCUUAAGGUGUUUAAGAAUAUCUUUUAAAUUUAAAGUUAUAAGUCCAUAGAUGAAAUUACCUUUAAGUUUAAAGAUAAUUUGAUGAACAAAUACUUACAUUUCUGUUAGUGGUCAAUUGAUAUUAGGUACUUACUAAGUUUUUAGCUUUGUGUUACACAUUCAAAGUAGGUAAAUUACUUGUGGAAAUUUUUUUUAAUAAUUGAAAUUUUUGUAAAAGCUUUAUGGGCUAAAAUCGUAUUUAUUUGCUAAUAAUGUCUGAUGUCAAACUUGUGAUGUGAUUAGAUAUGUUGAAGCUGGGAGACUGGAGCUUUUUAUAAGCAUAAUAUAGUUUUGUUGCUUGAUUAAAGUUUAGAUACCUAGAUAUUUUCCAGUAUAGCUAGGGAACAUACUUUUUAUGAAUUCACCCUAAACCUGGUUAAAAUUCUUCUGAGAAUUUUGAUAAUUGAACAGUUAAAUCUAAACUAGGAGCUGAAGUGUGUCAUUACAUGUGUCAUUAAUUAUUUAACUUAGAUACAUUAUAGGUUCCCUUUCUAAUCAAAACACCAAUUUUGUCUUUUCUUCUCUCUCCACCUCACUUUUUAAAGAAAAAAAUCCUUAAAUAAUUUUAUCAUGUAGUGAUACAAGCAGAACUUCUGGGUAGGGAGGUUGAACUCAACCACUUUUUUCCUUUGUGUGUUAGUUGCAUGUGAUUUUCUCAGCUUGCUGCUUCAGUAGCAGCAACAGUGAAUAAACAAGUAUCAUCAGAGCCCUUGUUCUUGCUUCUUACUUUUGGGAACAGGGGUUGGGAGAUUGCUGCUGCUUGUCAGCUGUUGUUCAAAAUAGCAUCAAUAUGCUGUAGUGGUGGCCAAAGCAGCCUGCACCCACUAGCUUUUAUAGACCAGGUGGAAAUGGCCCAACUGUCAGUGUAAUACAUAUAUAGUAUAAUGAAUACGUUCUUUGACAAAAAGGUAUUUUCGUCCCAAAGCAGCUAAAAGAGAACAGUAGAUACUUUUAAUUCUUAGUUUCUUAUUAUUUUUUACUAUUUACUGUGUGGUUUUUAGUUCAUUUAAUUUUUAUAUAGUUAAUUCCAUGUUUGAAUGGAAAACUAUCUUGCUUCCAAAAGUAUAUAUAUGUUUCAUGCUUUUUACUUUUAAGCUGGUAGGCUGAAAUAAAUUAUUCAAUAAUUAGUGCUGAUAACACAAGUUAGAUAAUACAUUGGUAAUGGCAUUAGGGAAAGAAAAGCUGACUGUGGCCACAUAGGCGUGUUUCUUUCACUUUGGGAUCAUAUUCUAAAUUCGUGUUAUCUUUAUUUUAUAGCUCAGUUUAAAAGGCCAAAUUUUUAAUUGAUUUAACUGUAACUAAAAAGAACAAAAAUCUAUUACUACCUGAUGUUGUAUAUAAUUAAAGACAAAGCAGGCUGUAGAUGGAAAUUCAUAAAUCUUUUUCUCACUAUUAAAAUAAUGUCUUCUAUCUGAACUUUAUAUCUGGGAAGUUCAGGUUAUUCUAAAUCUUUUGAAAUAGGACUGUAAUUUACAAUAGCAUGGAGUGUUUUGAUUUUUAAGAAUUUGAAUCUGUAUAGAUUUACAUAACCUAAAUAUCUGUGUAUUUUUCUCCUCUUUUGUAUCUAAAUUCCAAUAGGUUGUAGUUAGGGGGAAGUGAAUAUUGGAUUUCUGUUAAAGUUGUGAUUUCAUUUUUAGAAUUUUUGGUGGAAAACCGCAAAUGACAUUUCUAGUGUGUAAUCCUAAUGCCCCAAUUUAGAGUUCAACAUUUGCAAUAGUAUUCUUUUAAACAGAGGUAACAAUGGGGUGUUUUUUGGUUUGUUUUGGGAUUUUUCCUAAUACUAGAGUAUUAACAUCUUUAAUAUGUUGAUAUAAUUUAACAGAUACCAUUAAUUACUGAUACCUACUCUUAAUCAAAACAGUGAGUUACAUAAUGCUUUAUAUUGAAAACACCUUAUUUUUACUACUAAUUACUGUGUAAAGCACCUGUGGAUCACCUGUACCAGAAUAACCUAGAAUAAAGCAUUUUUCCAGACCUGAUGAAUCAGAAUCUCUGGGGAUGGACUUAAGUAUUUAUGUUUAUAACAAGUGAGUUUUUCCUAGAAACCCCACAUGUGAGAACACUGCCCAAAAUGAAUUGGGAAAGGAUUCUCCACACCAAUAAACCAUCUACAUUUUCUGCCUUUUUUUCCCUCUUUGGUCAUCAUGGGUCUAAUCUCAGUAACUAAUUAUGAAUUUUAUCACUUCUAACAGUAAUUCUAGGAUAAGUCUUGGUAGUUCUUCAGUCAUAUAAGGAAAAUCUAUAUUAUGAGAGCUUUAUUUUAUGCAAAAGUGCCUUGGACCAAAUUUUAAGUCUAUUUGUUUAGAACAGUUAAUAUACUAUUAAACCUAUACUUGAAGCAAACAGAAGGAAUUGAUCACUUAAGAAUUUUUUAAAUUUUCGUUUAGAUGGUAGCUGUUUUUCUUAAGUAUACUUCCAAAUACAUAUUGGAGAAAAUACAGAAAGGAGAGUUUUUCAUAUGCUGCUUAUAGGAGCAUUUGGCAAUAUCCUAAAGUGGAAGAUAUACAUAGGCUCUAACCCAGCAAUCCUAUUCCUAGAUGUUCUAGAUAAACUCAGACAUUCGUGAAAAAGUCUUAUUUAUUUUUACUUCUAAUAGGAAAAAAUUAAAAGUAAUGUAAAUAUUAGGCAGUGAGAGAAUGUAAAAUUGUGACUUAGUCAUGUGAUAAAAAUGUUAUACAGUUGUAAAGUGAGAU
rnacentral:lncRNA from 1 species